GAUGAACGCUGGCGGCGUGCCUAAUACAUGCAAGUCGAGCGAACAGACGAGGAGCUUGCUCCUCUGACGUUAGCGGCGGACGGGUGAGUAACACGUGGAUAACCUACCUAUAAGACUGGGAUAACUUCGGGAAACCGGAGCUAAUACCGGAUAAUAUAUUGAACCGCAUGGUUCAAUAGUGAAAGACGGUUUUGCUGUCACUUAUAGAUGGAUCGGCGCCGCAUUAGCUAGUUGGUAAGGUAACGGCUUACCAAGGCGACGAUGCGUAGCCGACCUGAGAGGGUGAUCGGCCACACUGGAACUGAGACACGGUCCAGACUCCUACGGGAGGCAGCAGUAGGGUAUCUUCCGCAAUGGGCGAAAGCCUGACGGAGCAACGCCGCGUGAGUGAUGAAGGUCUUCGGAUCGUAAAACUCUGUUAUUAGGGAAGAACAAAUGUGUAAGUAACUAUGCACGUCUUGACGGUACCUAAUCAGAAAGCCACGGCUAACUACGUG
rnacentral:rRNA from 1 species